GACGAACGCUGGCGGCGUGCUUAACACAUGCAAGUCGAACGGUAAGGCCCUUCGGGGUACACGAGUGGCGAACGGGUGAGUAACACGUGGGUGAUCUGCCCUGCACUUCGGGAUAAGCCUGGGAAACUGGGUCUAAUAACGGCUAGGACUCCCGGCUUCAUGGGUGGGGGUGGAAAGCUUUUGCGGUGUGGAAUGGGCCCGCGGCCUAACAGCUUGUUGGUGGGGUAAUGGCCUACCAAGGCGGCGACGGGUAGCCGGCCUGUGAGGGUGACCGGUCACACUGGGACUGAGAUACGGCCCAGACUCCUACGGGAGGCAGCAGUGGGGAAUAUUGCACAAUGGGCGCAAGCCUGAUGCAGCGACGCCGCGUGAGGGAUGACGGCCUUCGGGUUGUAAACCUCUUUCAGCUAUGACGAAGCGCAAGUGACGGUAGUAGCAGAAGAAGGACCGGCCAACUACGUGCCAGCCGCCGCCGUAA
rnacentral:rRNA from 1 species